rfam:Equus caballus cont2.37819, whole genome shotgun sequence.
CCCUUUGGACUUUCCCUCUGGGUUCGGUGCUAACCUCUUCUGUGAGCUUGCUCUGCCCCUCCUCCUCCCUUUAACUCUGUCAAGGUUAUCACUUCACUUAAAACCUUGCUUCUGGU